CAUAUAUAAACCCCAGGGCUGGGGCCAGAGGAGCAGUUCCCUGUCAGCAGCUAAGGGGAAAGGAGCUCUCCUAGAGGAAGCUGAGUGAAGAGGCUUGAUGGCCCAUCUCCUGCUUCUGAAGGAUAUGCAUGAUGAG